UACGUAGGUGGCAAGCGUUGUCCGGAAUUAUUGGGCGUAAAGCGCGCGCAGGCGGCCUCUUAAGUCUGAUGUGAAAGCCCCCGGCUCAACCGGGGAGGGCCUUGGAAACUGGGAGGCUUGAGUAUAGGAGAGAAGAGUGGAAUUCACGUGUAGCGGUGAAAUGCGUAGAGAUGAUGGAGGAACACCAGUGGCGAAGGCGACUCUUUGGCCUAUAACUG
rnacentral:rRNA from 1 species